rnacentral:tRNA from 1 species
CAAGGCGUAGCUACAAGACCAAAGCGUUCAGCUUACACCUGAAAGAUAUCUACCAUCUACUAGAUCGCCUUGA